rnacentral:lncRNA from 1 species
GGAGCUGGACGUUUCCUUCAUCUGGAACAGCGCUCAGUACCUUUUCCUCUGCUGCCCAACGAGCCGGCCGAAGGCGCAGGCCGAGGGGUCGAGCUGGCCCGAGAGCCUGCGGAUGUGUGUGCAUCCUGCCGGAAGCAGCAGGGCUGAGCAGGAAGUUGCAAUUACAAGAGGGCAGGGCUUCUGCAGAAGCUGAGCGGUGCUGGCUCAGAGCAGCCAGGGCUUAUCCAAGGAAGGUAUGUGCGGGGGCUCCCGGGACCAGGAAUCGAACCGGCGCCACAGCAGUGAGCCGAGCCACUGCAGCAAUAAUGCCAGAUCCUUAACCCUCAGCACCACAAGGGAACUCCUCGACUGCUUCUUAACUUUUCAAGAUAAUUAUCAUUUGGGAUGAAGUUUCUUACUCUUGAAUCAGAGCCAAGGGACCUUUUUUUUUUUUUUUUUUCAGUUCCUCCUCCCUGACCAGCUCCUCCUUGUUCACUUCCUCCAGAACCCCUCCACGCAGCCUCCACGCACCUCUCUGAAGAGUGACCCAUACCUCGUCACCCACUGGCUUCAAGAUCGCCACUGACCCCCCGCCUUUUCCUGCAAGGAGCACCGCAGCCCGCAGGGUCAGCUCCAUCCUCCGGAGUCCUCCGGAUGCAGCCCGGCCUGAAGUCCUUCCUGAACACCUGUCGUCAGCAUGACAGUGGAAUCUCUCAUAAUCAGCUUCAACUGGUUCCAAGCCAGGGGACCCCCGGGCACUUGCCCAGGAUGGUUGGAGUUCACGCCGGCUUAUGCUGCUGUUCUUGCUGGUGAAUGGUGUCCCCCGCUUCUCUCACAAAUGUCCUGCUUUGGAAAAUAAGUCAUAUGG